AUAGCGUAUAUUAAAGUUGUUGCAGUUAAAAAGCUCGUAGUUGAACUUCGGACCUGGUACGGUGGUCCGCCUUACGGUGUGUACUGCUGGACCGGGUUCUACCUCUUGGUGAGCCGGCAUGCCCUUCACUGGGUGUGUCGGGGAACCAGGACUUUUACCUUGAGAAAAUUAGAGUGUUCAAAGCAGGCCUACGCCUGAAUACAUUAGCAUGGCAUAAUAAAAUAGGACGUGCGGUUCUAUUUUGUUGGUUUCUAGAGUCGCCGUAAUGAUUAAUAGGGAUAGUUGGGGGCAUUUGUAUUCCGUUGCUAGAGGUGAAAUUCUUGGAUCUAUUGAAGACUAACUACUG
rnacentral:rRNA from 1 species